rnacentral:rRNA from 1 species
CUACGGGAUGCUCCAGUGAGGAAUAUUGCACAAUGGGGGGAACCCUGAUGCAGCAACGCCGCGUGGAGGAUGACGCAUUUCGGUGUGUAAACUCCUUUUAUAUGUCAAGAAAAUGACGGUAGCAUAUGAAUAAGCGCCGGCUAACUCCGUGCCAGCAGCCGCGGUAAUACGGAGGGCGCAAGCGUUACUCGGAAUCACUGGGCGUAAAGGACGCGUAGGCGGGUUGAAAAGUCCGGUGUGAAAGCCUACAGCUUAACUGUAGAACUGCACUUGAAACUCUCAAUCUAGAGUAUGGGAGGGGCAGAUGGAAUUAGUGGUGUAGGGGUAAAAUCCGUAGAUAUCACUAGGAAUACCUAAAGCGAAGGCGAUCUGCUGGAACAUUACUGACGCUAAGGCGUGAAAGCGUGGGGAGCAAACAGGAUUAGAUACCCUGGUAGUC